rnacentral:rRNA from 1 species
UACGAAGGGGGCUAGCGUUGCUCGGAAUCACUGGGCGUAAAGCGCACGUAGGCGGAUUGUUAAGUCAGGGGUGAAACUCCUGGAGCUCAACUCCAGAACUGCCUUUGAUACUGGCGAUCUCGAGUCCGGGAGAGGUGAGUGGAACUGCGAGUGUAGAGGUGAAAUUCGUAGAUAUUCGCAAGAACACCAGUGGCGAAGGCGGCUCACUGGCCCGGUACUGACGCUGAGGUGCGAAAGCGUGGGAGCAACAGGGA